AACAACCAGGGGUGGAAACAAUAAGCUCGUGCGACCGAAUGUUGCAGCAACAGCUGCCGGUGGGCCGUCUUGGCGACGGCGGAAGCAGUGACCGAGCCAGAGUAUAGGCCGCCUAUAGGGAAGAGAAAAAGCAAACAAACGGGAGGAAACAUCGCCAGUUUGGAAGAAGGGAUGUGCGCAGCAGCAACCAAACAGUUGACAAGCUAGACCAAAACUAGGACUCGUAAACAGAACUGCAUCAGGAAAAAAUAAGAUGAGCGAUGACUCACGGAUAGCAACUGGGCUCGCUAUCUUCA